rnacentral:rRNA from 1 species
UACGUAGGGUGCAAGCGUUGUCCGGAAUUAUUGGGCGUAAAGAGCUCGUAGGCGGUUUGUCGCGUCUGCUGUGAAAACUCAGGGCUUAACCCUGAGCCUGCAGUGGGUACGGGCAGACUAGAGUGUGGUAGGGGAGAUCGGAAUUCCUGGUGUAGCGGUGGAAUGCGCAGGAUAUCAGGAGGAACACCGGUGGCGAAGGCAGCCCCUGGGUCAAGACUGACGCCUCAUGCACGAAAGCGUGGGGAGCAAACAGG